AUUAAUUGAAUAGUCCUGUGCUUGUUCUCCCGCUUUUUACAAACAAAUGAACAGUUGAUAUGUGUGGAUCCUUUCAUUCACCACCAGAAAAAUCCUCUGCACAGGACAGGGGGAAAAUGCCUAAUCAGUCACAGCAAACCAGCAUGGUGCUUUGGGGUGGGAAGUGAAAAAUACCAUGUCCAUUCAAACUUGGAUUUCACAGCGCUGGAGGAUCGGGAGAGGCAGAGUGCAGGACUUGCCCCAGGUGAGAGCUGGGCUGGCUGCACAGGCAGUGCUUCCUCAAAGCACUCCCAGGUUUGGGCAUUCAGCUCCAGACCUCUGGCAGAAGUGAGACUGGAACAGAGGCAGCAAUAAAGCUGUGCCCAGGCAGGAGGUUGGGGUUCCCUACGGCGCGAGCUCAGAGCUCCACGCUUUUUCCCCUCCUGCUGAUCCGCUCGCUUUUAUUUUUCCACCUGGUGACCCGCAGGUGUUCCUGCUGAGACACAGAUGUGGAGGGGGGCAUGUUUGAAUGCUGGGCUGUGAGGAAGGCAGGGAUCCUCCAGGGACCCCGUGUUUGUCUGUGUGUCUGUCCCAAGAGCCGCGCCCGGAUCCUGGCCCCACACACCACACGGCUCGCCCAAGUGCCUCCCUUUGUUUCAAACUCUUGGAGCCUGGAGCACUUGUUGAACCUGACCACGAGUGCAUCAAAGUGGCUGACAAUUAGGAAAUAAACAAAUAUCAUUUGAGGUGGUCUUGGGCGGAAUCCAGUCAUACAUAGAAGGGCUUGUUGCUGUUGUUAUCAUUUUGAAUAUUCCUCAUAGUUGGGAUAUUUGUGCUGUGCAGCGGUGUCCCCGGCACAGCAAACAUUGCAUUAUCUCUCUGUGCAAAGGCUCCAUUAAUCACACCAGACAAUGGGCCAGACACAUCCCUUUGAGCCUGGUGCUGGGAUCCUCUGGGCUUUUCACCUUGUCCAAAUGCUUCAUCCCUGUCAAUGCAGGCAGCAGCUCUUCAAAACCGAUGGCUCUGAACUCCGACAGGAAAACGUCUAAGAUUUCCCCAGUUAUUUUAUAUUCUCCCUUUGAUUUUUCAUGGCUUGUAGAAGCUAAACUUUUUCAGUCUUUCUGUCUGUACAUGAGAUCAAUCCAAUCAUUUAUUAAAACACUAAUGAAUUUGCCUGAUAGAUCUGUGUCCUUUAAAGCAGCAGCAGCAACAGUGGCAAGCCUGAGAUCGAGCAGGAUGGAGUGGCCUGGCCAAGCUGUGGCCCCACUGGCAGGAGCUUCAGAGUGGACAGAAGAGGGAACACAGCUUGGUGGUGAAGGUGCUGUUCUCCUGAAAGAGGAUCCUGGCAAAAACAUGGCUUGGUGCAGGGGAUGGCACGCUGAAGGCGAGACAGCAGCAGACACUUGAAUGGAGACUCCUCGUGUUUACAGCCUGGCCACGAGUGACUGAGACCCGAAAUCUCCCUGACGUCCUCUCUGGAUGCUUGGCCUUGGAACAGCCUCAUUUGUGCCACACCUGCUCCCUUCCACUCGUGGAGCCUUCUGUGCUGCACAGGACACUGGAAAAGCACUUGGAGAUGGCUGGAGAAGGAUGGGGCUUCCUGAAAAAUGGUCUCUAAACCAGGCCUUUCCCUGUGCCGUGGCUCAUUAAUAUCAGUGGUUUCUGCUGGAGGAACUCUGUCACCUUCCCCGAGGCAGCAGAUCUGAGGCCAGACGUGGUGUGCACUGCUUGUGCAUUCAGACACGAGUAAUAACAAGUUUGGAGGAACUGUACCACUUAAUAAAAGCAUUUUAUUACAUUUAAAUGUAUUAAAAUGUGAACAUUAAAUUCAACGCGCUAA